UACGGGGGGAGCAAGCGUUUGUUCGGAUUUACUGGGCGUAAAGGGCGCGUAGGCGGUCAGCACAAGUCAGUUGUGAAAUCUCCGGGCUUUAACUCGGAAAGGUCAACUGAUACUGUGCGACUAGAGUGCGGAAGGGGCAACUGGAAUUCUCGGUGUAGCGGUGAAAUGCGUAGAUAUCGAGAGGAACACCUGCGGCGAAGGCGGGUUGCUGGGCCGACACUGACGCUGAGGCGCGAAAGCCCAGGGGAGCGAACGGG
rnacentral:rRNA from 1 species